ACUCAGGGCGGCCAUGGCGGCGGGGCACACCCCUUCCCAUACCGAACAGGGCAGUUAAGCCCGCCAGCGCCGAUGGUACUAGGGUAAAACCAGGGAGAGUAGGACACCGCCCGUUUUU
rnacentral:rRNA from 1 species